UACGUAGGGGGCAAGCGUUGUCCGGAAUCAUUGGGCGUAAAGAGCGCGUAGGCGGCCCAGUAAGUCCGCUCUGAAAGUCAGGGGCUCAACCCCUGGAUGCGGGUGGAUACUGCUGGGCUAGAGUCCGGAAGAGGUGAGUGGAAUUCCUGGUGUAGCGGUGAAAUGCGCAGAUAUCAGGAAGAACACCCGUGGCUAAGGCGGCUCUCUAGUACGGUACUGACGCUGAGACGCGAAAGCGUGGGGAGCGAACAGG
rnacentral:rRNA from 1 species